CCGGCUUUAUUUUACUACUGAAUGGCAAUUCAAAGAACUUUCUACUGCAAUGAUUUAGAAUUUCCACUUCAGUGAGAUUUUACACNNNNNNNNNNNNNNNNNNNNCUAUAUUAUCCGCAUUUUACAACAUUUUGCAACGAAACUUUGGAAUAUUACUAAUUUUGUGACGCUCUUUCAAGCUGUGAUGAAAUUUUUGUCUAGACUUGUUGAGUUCAAAAUUUUGGUUAAUUGGGGAAUGGUCCAUUAUGAGUUUGAGAUCAUCUUGUAACGGCAAGGUUGAUGAGCCAACAGACCGCAACAAGUUGUUCCAACAAGACUGAUAUGGUCUACACGUAACAAGUUGUUAACAAGUUGAUGACAACAAGCUCGUGGCAACUUGUUACGAAGACCUGUAUUGACUGUACUCUUGUUAGAACAACUUUUUUUACUGUCAUCAACCUUGUAACCUGUUCGUUACUCUGAAACAACAUGUGAGAUUUUUAGUCGUUCCAGUACAAUUUUGAAAACGAAGAUAGAUUUUGAAAAAGAUGCGAAACAAUUUUCACUUAUAUUUCCUUUCAAAAUAUUUUACUUUCUUAAGCGAUAUAUAUGCACUUGAGCAUAGCUAUUUUGUUAUCUGUAUUUAAAAUCAAGGACGUCAAUCACCAAAUGUAAUAUUUUUUUACUUAAAUGCCGCACGAAUGCAAAUCAAUUAUUAUGCUAAUUCAGUCAAGUUAUUGGACCCACGCUGAGCAAAUGAAGAAAUUACAAUUGAAUCAAUGAAAUGAAUAUAAAUUGAAAAGAUGGU
rnacentral:lncRNA from 1 species